UUACUGAUGACAAAAUAGAGGUCAAGUUCAAUAAUGACGAUUUUGACUUUUACUGUUCAGGAGUUAUGGUUCUUGAAAGAUCGUAAAAUGGCGUUUCCAUUCACGUUGUUGCAUUUACUCAUGAACCAUUCAAUCUAAGCUUUUCAAAUUUUAAUAUGUUGAUACUGAUGACAAAAUGGAGGUCAAAUUUGAUAUUGACGAUUUUCACUUUCACAUUCAUCAGUAAUGGUUCUUGUGAUAUUGCCAGGACACA
rnacentral:lncRNA from 1 species